UACGUAGGGGGGCUAGCGUUGUCCGGAAUCAUUGGGCGUAAAGAGCGUGUAGGCGGCCCGGUAAGUCCGCUGUAAAAGUCAAAGGCUCAACCUUUGAAUGUCAGUGGAUACUGCCGGGCUAGAGUCCGGAAGAGGCGAGUGGAACUCCUGGUGUAGCGGUGGAAUGCGCAGAUAUCAGGAGGAACACCGGUGGCGAAGGCGGAUCUCUGGGCCUUACCUGACGCUCAGGCGCGAAAGCUAGGGGAGCGAACAGG
rnacentral:rRNA from 1 species